rnacentral:misc_RNA from 1 species
UCUCCGUAGGUGAACCUGCGGAGGGAUCAUUACAGAGUUCAUGCCCUCACGGGUAGAUCUCCCACCCUGUGUUAUUAUACUUUGUUGCUUAGGCAGGCCGCCCGCGUGGGCUACCGGCUCCAGCUGGUAAGUGCCUGCCAGAGGACCCCAAACUCUGAAUAUUUUAUUGUCUGAGUACUAUAUAAUAGUUUAAAACUUUCAACAACGGAUCUCUUGGUUCUG